AUUGAACGCUGGCGGAAUGCUUUACACAUGCAAGUCGAACGGUAGAGGGGGCAACCCCUCGAGAGUGGCGAACGGGUGAGUAAUAUAUCGGAACGUGCCCAGUCGUGGGGGAUAACGUAGCGAAAGUUACGCUAAUACCGCAUACGAUCUAAGGAUGAAAGCGGGGGAUCGCAAGACCUCGCGCGAUUGGAGCGGCCGAUAUCAGAUUAGGUAGUUGGUGGGGUAAAGGCUCACCAAGCCCACGAUCUGUAGCUGGUCUGAGAGGACGACCCGCCACACUGGAACUGAGACACGGUCCAGACUCCUACGGGAGGCAGCAGUGGGGAAUUUUGGACAAUGGACGCAAGUCUGAUCCAGCCAUUCCGCGUGCAGGAUGAAGGCCCUCGGGUUGUAAACUGCUUUUGUACGGAACGAAAAGGUCUCUCUUAAUACGGGGGACUCAUGACGGUACCGUAAGAAUAAGCACCGGCUAACUACGUGCCAGCCGCCGCCGUAA
rnacentral:rRNA from 1 species